GUUCUCUUGGCAGCGUCUCAGGCUGUCUGGACCAGCUGUCACAGUCUCGCUGUGGGUGAGUCACCUGAGGCACUGUAUGGCGGAUAGAAGGAUUCAUUGCCCUGGGAGGUUUUGCCUGGCAUUCUGCAGAAGCAUUGCUGUAUCUUACCAGACAGGAAUACAGAGUCGCAGUGCACGCUCUGCGGGGAGCCGGAAGCUCUGCACCCUCGGAGAGAUUGGAGUGGGUGUGGAGGCAGCUGACGUGGAGCCAACAGAGUGUUCAUUAUGGGAAUACAGCAUGAGUUAAAAGUCACAA
rnacentral:lncRNA from 10 species